ACGCUCGACACCUACGGGGGCAGCAGUGAGGAAUAUUGGUCAAUGGGCGCUAGCCUGAACCAGCCAAGUAGCGUGAAGGAUGAAGGCUCUAUGGGUCGUAAACUUCUUUUAUAUAAGAAUAAAGUGCAGUAUGUAUACUGUUUUGUAUGUAUUAUAUGAAUAAGGAUCGGCUAACUCCGUGCCAGCACGCCGGUAGGUAAUCUGAGGCGGGCGUGGACGAAGGC
rnacentral:rRNA from 1 species